AGAGUUUGAUCCUGGCUCAGGAUGAACGCUAGCGGCAGGCUUCAUACAUGCAAGUCGAGGGGCAGCAUAAUUACUUGUAAUUGAUGGCGACCGGCGAACGGGUGCGUAACGCGUAUGCAACUUACCUUUUACUAGAGAAUAGCCAAGAGAAAUUUUGAUUAAUGCUCUAUGUUCUUAAAAAUUCGCAUGAAUUUUUAAGCAAAGCUCCGGCGGUAAAAAGAUGGGCAUGCGUCCUAUUAGCUUGUAGGUGAGGUAACGGCUCACCUAAGCUCUGAUAGGUAGGGGUCCUGAGAGGGAGAUCCCCCACACUGGUACUGAGACACGGACCAGACUUCUACGGAAGGCAGCAGUAAGGAAUAUUGGACAAUGGAGGCAACUCUGAUCCAGCCAUGCCGCGUGCAGGAAGACGGCCUUAUGGGUUGUAAACUGCUUUUAUACAGGAAGAAACCUUUCCACGUGUGGAAAGCUGACGGUACUGUAAGAAUAAGGAUCGGCUAACUCCGUGCCAGCAGCCGCGGUAAUACGGAGGAUCCAAGCGUUAUCCGGAAUUAUUGGGUUUAAAGGGUCCGCAGGCUGUCUGUUAAGUCAGAGGUGAAAGCCUACCGCUCAACGGUAGAACUGCCUUUGAUACUGGCAGACUUGAGUUAUUGUGAAGUAGUUAGAAUGUGUAGUGUAGCGGUGAAAUGCAUAGAUAUUACACAGAAUACCGAUUGCGAAAGCAGAUUACUAACAAUAUACUGACGCUGAGGGACGAAAGCGUGGGUAGCGAACAGGAUUAGAUACCCUGGUAGUCCACGCCGUAAACGAUGGUCACUAGCUGUUUGAUGUACAUUGGUACGUUGAGUGGCUAAGCGAAAGUGAUAAGUGACCCACCUGGGGAGUACGCUCGCAAGAGUGAAACUCAAAGGAAUUGACGG
rnacentral:rRNA from 1 species